GGGGUUGUGGCUCAGCGGUAGAGCGUUCACCUGGCACGUGGGAGGCACUGGGUUUGGCCCUCAGCACCA
rnacentral:tRNA from 1 species